rnacentral:rRNA from 1 species
GUCUUAUUGAUAAUAAUUUUAAGUCUAAUCUGCCCAAUGAAAAAUUUUGAAUGGCUGCAGUAUCAAUAACUGUACAAAGGUAGCAUAAUAAUUAGUUUUUUAAUUGAAAACUAGAAUGAAAGAUUAAAUGAAAUAUAAACUUUAUAAAUAAAAUAAAAAUUUAAAUUAAAUUUUAAGUUAAAAUUCUUAGAUAUUAUUAAAAGACGAGAAGACCCUUUAGAAUUUUAUAUUAAUUGUAAUUAAAUUUAUAAUAAUUUUAAUAUAAAUUAUUAAUUAAUAUUUAAUUGGGGUAAUUUUAUAAUUAAAUAAACUUUUAAAUAAUUAUUACAUAAAUUAA